AAGAGAAUUAAAAAGUUAAAUCUUUAAUGACACAUGUAAACAUCUCAAUGUUAGAUUUGACACGUGCCACAAUCUUAUGAGGUAGUAAUUUUGAAAACUGUACUUUAUAUAAUAAGAAAU
rnacentral:sRNA from 1 species